rnacentral:rRNA from 1 species
GACGAACGCUGGCGGCGUGCUUAACACAUGCAAGUCGAACGGUAAGGCCCUUCGGGGUACACGAGUGGCGAACGGGUGAGUAACACGUGGGUGAUCUGCCCUGCACUUCGGGAUAAGCCUGGGAAACUGGGUCUAAUACCGGAUAGGACCACUGCCUGCAGGGGUGGUGGUGGAAAGCUUUUGCGGUGUGGGAUGGGCCCGCGGCCUAUCAGCUUGUUGGUGGGGUGAUGGCCUACCAAGGCGACGACGGGUAGCCGGCAUGAGAGGGUGACCGGCCACACUGGGACUGAGAUACGGCCCAGACUCCUACGGGAGGCAGCAGUGGGGAAUAUUGCACAAUGGGCGCAAGCCUGAUGCAGCGACGCCGCGUGAGGGAUGACGGCCUUCGGGUUGUAAACCUCUUUCAGCACCGACGAAGCGCAAGUGACGGUACCUGCAGAAAAAGCACCGGCUAACUACGUGCCAGCCGCCGCCGUAA